GUGGGGAAUAUUGGACAAUGGGCGCAAGCCUGAUCCAGCCAUGCCGCGUGUGUGAAGAAGGCCUUCGGGUUGUAAAGCACUUUUGUCCGGGAAGAAAUCUUCCAGGUUAAUACCCUGGGAGGCUGACGGUACCGGAAGAAUAAGCACCGGCUAACUUCGUGCCAGCAGCCGCGGUAAUACGAAGGGUGCAAGCGUUACUCGGAAUUACUGGGCGUAAAGCGUGCGUAGGUGGUUCGUUAAGUCUGUCGUGAAAGCCCCGGGCUCAACCUGGGAAUGGCGGUGGAUACUGGCGGGCUAGAGUGCGGUAGAGGGUGGUGGAAUUCCCGGUGUAGCAGUGAAAUGCGUAGAGAUCGGGAGGAACAUCUGUGGCGAAGGCGGCCACCUGGACCAGCACUGACACUGAGGCACGAAAGCGUGGGGAGCAAACAGGAUUAGAUACCCUAGUAGUCC
rnacentral:rRNA from 1 species